AAUAGAUACCCAGGUAGUCCACGCCGUAAACGAUGAGUGCUAAGUGUUAGAGGGUUUCCGCCCUUUAGUGCUGCAGCUAACGCAUUAAGCACUCCGCCUGGGGAGUACGGCCGCAAGGCUGAAACUCAAAGGAAUUGACGGGGGCCCGCACAAGCGGUGGAGCAUGUGGUUUAAUUCGAAGCAACGCGAAGAACCUUACCAGGUCUUGACAUCCUCUGACAACCCUAGAGAUAGGGCUUUCCCCUUCGGGGGACAGAGUGACAGGUGGUGCAUGGUUGUCGUCAGCUCGUGUCGUGAGAUGUUGGGUUAAGUCCCGCAACGAGCGCAACCCUUGAUCUUAGUUGCCAGCAUUCAGUUGGGCACUCUAAGGUGACUGCCGGUGACAAACCGGAGGAAGUGGGGAUGACGUCAAAUCAUCAUGCCCCUUAUGACCUGGGCUACACACGUGCUACAAUGGAUGGUACAAAGGGCUGCAAACCUGCGAAGGUAAGCGAAUCCCAUAAAGCCAUUCUCAGUUCGGAUUGCAGG
rnacentral:rRNA from 1 species